rnacentral:sRNA from 1 species
GCCAGGUGUGGUGGUGCACUCCUGUAAUCCCAGCGCUUGGGAGGCUGAGACAGGAUGAUAGAGUUCAAAACCAGCCUCAGCAACAAAGGGAAGGCAUUAAGCAACUUCAUGAGACCCUGUCUCUA